rnacentral:tRNA from 1 species
AAACGCUGUGGGUCGCGCCAGCCAAUCUCCCCCCUCGCGGGGGAGAUGUCCGGCAGGACAGAGGGGGGCCCGGUUCCGCCAGCAUUUCC